UGAAAAAUAGUUAAUUUAACCCCGAAAAAGGAUAAAAGUCAAAUAUGCUGAAUUUAGGGUGUUUUUAGAUCGAAAAAACAGGGAAUCCCCCGAGAAGGACAAAGUUAUGUUUUUUGUCAUUGUUGUAAUUUUUACAACUUUUUCCCUCAAAAAUGAAAUUAGUUUAGUGGGUCCUUAAUACCUAAAAACAAAGUGAAACAUCACUAAAUUGUACCCAUAUAUAUGCUUAAUAACAGAAGAAUGUCCAAGCGUCGCCGUGGUUCCAACGGUAGAGCAUGGAACUGUAUCAGAAAGCUUAUUUUGAAUAGAGGGUAAUAAUCUCACACAGAUAUUUUGCAUUUUUUGUGUUGAAAUAUUAAAUUUUAAUGUUUCUAUCAUAUUUUUUCGGAUGUUUGCUAAAUUCGUAGAGUCAUGAUGGAUCAUUUGACCGUUUAUCAUUUCAUUAAAGAAAAACAAAUACUUUGUCGUUUAUUGUGUGCAUUCUUAUAACUACCCAUACUAUUGACUUACUUCCUAUUCCUGUGUUUUCAUUUAUUAUAUAUUUGCAAGGAACAAUUGCCGUCAAACUAGAGUAGUUGCUUGUAAAUAAACAAUAACACGAGAAUUGAUACUAUAGCAAUGACGCCCAAAUGUUGCGUGUGUAACCCGUAUGUAAUAAGUAUUAGGAUGCCACCCAGACACUAGUAGGAAUGAAGUAGGAAUCUACCGAGAAUCAAAGAUUCCAUAUAGAAAGUAGACGGUCAGGGAAAAUGAACAUAAUUCUGACUGGAUUUUUUUGAUAUUCCUACUACCAAAA
rnacentral:lncRNA from 1 species